rnacentral:snRNA from 1 species
AGCUUUGUGCAGUAACAGUAUCAUAGCCAAUGAGGUUUAUCUACAGUGUGAUAAUUGCUAAUUGAAAAUGUCUUUCCUUUUUGCCUUUAGUACCUUAAAAUUUACUAAGAUUAUCUAGGGAAACCCAAAUUAUUUUG